rnacentral:scRNA from 1 species
GCCUUUGCCAAGCAAAUUCAGUACGAUCCAUC